rnacentral:rRNA from 1 species
AGAGUUUGAUCCUGGCUCAGGACGAACGCUGGCGGCGUGCUUAACACAUGCAAGUCGAACGGUAAGGCCCUUUCGGGGGUACACGAGUGGCGAACGGGUGAGUAACACGUGAGUAACCUGCCCUCAUCUCUGGGAUAACAGUCGGAAACGGUUGCUAAUACUGGAUAUGAGCUUGCAAGGCAUCUUGUGGGUUGGAAAGAUAUUUUUUUGGUUGGGGAUGGACUCGCGGCCUAUCAGCUUGUUGGUGAGGUAGUGGCUCACCAAGGCUUCGACGGGUAGCCGGCCUGAGAGGGCGACCGGCCACAUUGGGACUGAGAUACGGCCCAAACUCCUACGGGAGGCAGCAGUGGGGAAUAUUGCACAAUGGACGGAAGUCUGAUGCAGCAACGCCGCGUGCGGGAUGACGGCCUUCGGGUUGUAAACCGCUUUCAAUUGUGACGAAGCUUUUUGUGACGGUAGCAGUAGAAGAAGCACCGGCUAACUACGUGCCAGCAGCCGCGGUGAUACGUAGGGUGCGAGCGUUGUCCGGAUUUAUUGGGCGUAAAGAGCUUGUAGGCGGUUUGUCGCGUCGGGAGUGAAAACUCGGAGCUUAACUUUGAGCUUGCUUUCGAUACGGGCUGACUUGAGGGAGGUAGGGGAGAAUGGAAUUCCUGGUGGAGCGGUGGAAUGCGCAGAUAUCAGGAGGAACACCGGUGGCGAAGGCGGUUCUCUGGACCUUUCCUGACGCUGAGAAGCGAAAGCGUGGGGAGCGAACAGGCUUAGAUACCCUGGUAGUCCACGCCGUAAACGGUGGGUACUAGGUGUGGGGGACAUUCCACGUUCUCCGUGCCGUAGCUAACGCAUUAAGUACCCCGCCUGGGGAGUACGGCCGCAAGGCUAAAACUCAAAGGAAUUGAC